rnacentral:rRNA from 1 species
GGACCUGACUGCUAUCGGAUUGAUACUAAGCCAUGCGAGUCAUUGUAGCAAUACAAGGCAGACGGCUCAGUAACGCGUAGUCAACCUACCUUAUGGACGGGGAUAACCUCGGGAAACUGAGAAUAAUACCCGAUAGAACAUUAUGCCUGGAAUGGUUUAUGUUUCAAAUAAUUUAUUGCCGUAAGAUGGGACUGCGGCCUAUCAGUUUGUUGGUGAGGUAAUGGCCCACCAAGACUAUUACAGGUACGGGCUCUGAGAGGAGUAGCCCGGAGAUGGGUACUGAGACACGGACCCAGGCCCUAUGGGGCGCAGCAGGCGAGAAAACUUUGCAAUGUGCGAAAGCACGACAAGGUUAAUCCGAGUGGUUUCUGCUAAAGGAACCUUUUGUUAGUCGUAGAACCACUGAUGAAUAAGGGGUGGGCAAGUUCUGGUGUCAGCCGCCGCGGUAAAACCAGCACCUCAAGUGGUCAGGAUGAUUAUUGGGCCUAAAGCAUCCGUAGCCUGCUUUGUUAGUUUUCGGUUAAAUCCAUGUGCUCAACGUAUGGGCUGCCGGGAAUACUGCAAAGCUAGGGAGUGGGAGAGGUAGACGGUACUCGGUAGGAAGGGGUAAAAUCCUUUGAUCUAUUGAUGACCACCUGUGGCGAAGGCGGUCUACCAGAACACGUCCGACGGUGAGGGAUGAAAGCUGGGGGAGCAAACCGGAUUANAUACCCGGGUAGUCCCAGCUGUAAACUAUGCAAACUCGGUGANGCAUU